UACGUAGGGUGCAAGCGUUGUCCGGAAUUAUUGGGCGUAAAGAGCUUGUAGGCGGUUUGUCGCGUCUGCUGUGAAAUUUCGGGGCUCAACCCCGAACUUGCAGUGGGUACGGGCAGACUAGAGUGUGGUAGGGGAGACUGGAAUUCCUGGUGUAGCGGUGAAAUGCGCAGAUAUCAGGAGGAACACCGGUGGCGAAGGCGGCUCUCUGGGCCUUACCUGACGCUGAGGAGCGAAAGCGUGGGUAGCGAACAGG
rnacentral:rRNA from 1 species